GGCCUUCCACUCCCACCCCAGAAAGCAAAGAAAAUGUUAACAAGCCAUCAUCAUCAUCUUUGCAGGAGGUACCAAUCCAGAGUUAUUCCCCAGCCAUGGACUCAAAUUGGCCACCAUUACAGGUUGACGAGGAACUCGCAAACUUCCAAAAUGUUGAAAAUUCUAUUUUGACCACGUUCAGAAGAAAAUAUCCCCAGAAAUAUCAAACAUUAGAAAAAAGGAUUAAGG